GGCCUACCAUGGUGGUAACGGGUAACGGGGUGUUAGGGCACGACACCGGAGAGGGAGCCUGAGAAACGGCUACCACAUCCAAGGAUGGCAGCAGGCGCGCAAAUUACCCAAUCCCGACACGGGGAGGUAGUGACAAUAAAUAACAAUACGGGGUUCUUUCGGAUCUCGUAAUUGGAAUGAGUACAAUUUAAAUCUCUUAACGAGGAACAAUUGGAGGGCAAGUCUGGUGCCAGCAGCCGCGGUAAUUCCAGCUCCAAUAGCGUAUAUUAAAGUUGUUGCAGUUAAAAAGCUCGUAGUUGAAUUUCGGGGUUAGUAGGUUGGUCAUGCCUCUGGUAUGUACUGGUCUCACUGAUUCCUCCUUCCUGAUGAACCGUAAUGCCAUUAAUUUGGUGUUGCGGGGAAUUUGGACUGUUACUUUGAAAAAAUUAGAGUGUUUAAAGCAAGCUAACGCUUGAAUACAUUAGCAUGGAAUAAUGAAAUAGGACGUUCGAUCCUAUUUUGUUGGUUUCUAGGAUUGACGUAAUGAUUAAUAGGGAUAGUUGGGGGCAUUAGUAUUCAAUUGUCAGAGGUGAAAUUCUUGGAUUUAUUGAAGACUAACUACUGCGAAAGCAUUUGCCAAGGAUGUUUUCAUUAAUCAAGAACGAAAGUUAGGGGAUCGAAGACGAUCAGAUACCGUCGUAGUCUUAACCAUAGACUAUGCCGACUAGGGAUCGGAUGAUGUUAAUUUUUUAAUGACUCAUUCGGCGCCUUACG
rnacentral:rRNA from 1 species